ACGAACGCUGGCGGCGUGCUUAACACAUGCAAGUCGAACGAAGAGCGAUGGAAGCUUGCUUCUAUCAAUCUUAGUGGCGAACGGGUGAGUAACGCGUAAUCAACCUGCCCUUCAGAGGGGGACAACAGUUGGAAACGACUGCUAAUACCGCAUACGAUCUAACCUCGGCAUCGAGGAUGGAUGAAAGGUGGCCUCUAUUUAUAAGCUAUCACUGCAGGAGGGGAUUGCGUCUGAUUAGCUAGUUGGAGGGGUAACGGCCCACCAAGGCGAUGAUCAGUAGCCGGUCUGAGAGGAUGAACGGCCACAUUGGGACUGAGACACGGCCCAGACUCCUACGGGAGGCAGCAGUGGGGAAUCUUCCGCAAUGGACGAAAGUCUGACGGAGCAACGCCGCGUGAGUGAUGACGGCCUUCGGGUUGUAAAGCUCUGUUAAUCGGGACGAAAGGCCUUCUUGCGAAUAGUUAGAAGGAUUGACGGUACCGGAAUAGAAAGCCACGGCUAACUACGUG
rnacentral:rRNA from 1 species